UGACCCGUCGCCCAAUUGGUUAGAGCGCACGACUGUUAAUCGUGAGGUUGUGAGUUCAAGUCUCACCGGGUCAG
rnacentral:tRNA from 1 species